rnacentral:rRNA from 1 species
AGUGAACGCUGGCGGUAGGCCUAACACAUGCAAGUCGAACGGCAGCACAGUAAGAGCUUGCUCUUACGGGUGGCGAGUGGCGGACGGGUGAGGAAUACAUCGGAAUCUACUUUUUCGUGGGGGAUAACGUAGGGAAACUUACGCUAAUACCGCAUACGACCUACGGGUGAAAGAAGGGGAUCUUCGGACCUUGCGCGAUUGAAUGAGCCGAUGUCGGAUUAGCUAGUUGGCGGGGUAAAGGCCCACCAAGGCGACGAUCCGUAGCUGGUCUGAGAGGAUGAUCAGCCACACUGGAACUGAGACACGGUCCAGACUCCUACGGGAGGCAGCAGUGGGGAAUAUUGGACAAUGGGCGCAAGCCUGAUCCAGCCAUACCGCGUGGGUGAAGAAGGCCUUCGGGUUGUAAAGCCCUUUUGUUGGGUAAGAAAAGCAGCAGGUUAAUACCCCGCUGUUCUGACGGUACCCAAAGAAUAAGCACCGGCUAACUUCGUGC